rnacentral:rRNA from 1 species
GUUGUAUAGUCAAGUAAUUAAGUGCAUGUGGUGGAUGCCUUGGCAGUCAGAGGCGAUGAAAGACGUGAUAGCCUGCGAAAAGCUCCGGGGAGGCGGCAAAUAUCCUUUGAUCCGGAGAUGUCUGAAUGGGGGAACCCACCUACUUUAAGGUAGGUAUUGCAACAUGAAUACAUAGUGUUGCAAGGCGAACGAGGGGAAGUGAAACAUCUCAGUACCCUUAGGAAAAGAAAUCAAUUGAGAUUCCCUCAGUAGCGGCGAGCGAACGGGGAUCAGCCCAUUAAGUUAUGUGUGUUUUAGUGGAACGCUCUGGGAAGUGCGAACGUAGAGGGUGAUAUUCCCGUACACGAAAGGGCACACAUAAUGAUGACGAGUAGGGCGAGGCACGUGAAACCUUGUCUGAAUAUGGGGGGACCAUCCUCCAAGGCUAAAUACUCCUGACUGACCGAUAGUGAACCAGUACCGUGAGGGAAAGGCGAAAAGAACCCCUGUGAGGGGAGUGAAAUAGAUCCUGAAACCGCAUGCAUACAAGCAGUGGGAGCACCUUCGUGGUGUGACUGCGUACCUUUUGUAUAAUGGGUCAGCGACUUAUAUUCAGUAGCGAGGUUAACCGUAUAGGGGAGCCGUAGGGAAAUCGAGUCUUAAUAGGGCGUUUAGUUGCUGGGUAUAGACCCGAAACCAGGCGAUCUAUCCAUGAGCAGGUUGAAGGUUGGGUAACACUAACUGGAGGACCGAACCCACUGUCGUUGAAAAGCCAGGGGAUGACUUGUGGAUAGGGGUGAAAGGCUAAUCAAGCCUGGUGAUAGCUGGUUCUCCCCGAAAGCUAUUUAGGUAGCGCCUCGGACGAAUACCAUAGGGGGUAGAGCACUGUUUCGGCUAGGGGGUCAUCCCGACUUACCAAACCGAUGCAAACUCCGAAUACCUAUGAGUACUAUCCGGGAGACAGACUGCGGGUGCUAACGUCCGUAGUCAAGAGGAAAACAAUCCAGACCGCCAGCUAAGGCCCCAAAAUCAUAGUUAAGUGGGAAACGAUGUGGGAAGGCAUAGACAGCUAGGAGGUUGGCUUAGAAGCAGCCACCCUUUAAAGAAAGCGUAAUAGCUCACUAGUCGAGUCGGCCUGCGCGGAAGAUGUAACGGGGCUAAAACUAUGUGCCGAAGCUGCGGAUGUAUACUUUGUAUACGUGGUAGGGGAGCGUUCUGUAAGCCGAUGAAGGUGUGUUGAGAAGCAUGCUGGAGGUAUCAGAAGUGCGAAUGCUGACGUGAGUAACGACAAAACGGGUGAAAAACCCGUUCGCCGAAAGACCAAGGGUUCCAGUCCAACGUUAAUCGGGGCUGGGUGAGUCGACCCCUAAGGCGAGGCCGAAAGGCGUAGUCGAUGGGAAAAUGGUUAAUAUUCCAUUACUUCUGUGUAAUGCGAUGAGAGGACGGAGAAGGCUAAAUCAGCCUGGCGUUGGUUGUCCAGGUGAAAGGAUGUAGGCAUGUAUCUUAGGCAAAUCCGGGGUACUCUAUGCUGAGAUCUGAUAGCAAGCUGUACUUGUACAGCGAAGUGGUUGAUGCCAUGCUUCCAGGAAAAGUCUCUAAGCUUCAGUUACACAGGAAUCGUACCCGAAACCGACACAGGUGGUCAGGUCGAGUAGACCAAGGCGCUUGAGAGAACUCUGCUGAAGGAACUAGGCAAAAUGGUACCGUAACUUCGGGAGAAGGUACGCUGUUGUUGGUGAUGGAACUCGCUUCCUGAGCUGACGACAGCCGCAGAAACCAGGCCGCUGCAACUGUUUAUUAAAAACAUAGCACUCUGCAAACACGAAAGUGGACGUAUAGGGUGUGAUGCCUGCCCGGUGCUGGAAGGUUAAUUGAUGGGGUUAGCGUAAGCGAAGCUCUUGAUCGAAGCCCCAGUAAACGGCGGCCGUAACUAUAACGGUCCUAAGGUAGCGAAAUUCCUUGUCGGGUAAGUUCCGACCUGCACGAAUGGCAUAAUGAUGGCGGCGCUGUCUCCAGCAGAGGCUCAGUGAAAUCGAAAUCGCUGUGAAGAUGCAGUGUACCCGCGGCUAGACGGAAAGACCCCGUGAACCUUUACUGCAGCUUGACACUGAACUUUGACCUUACUUGUGUAGGAUAGGUGGGAGGCUUUGAAGCUGGAACGCUAGUUCCAGUGGAGCCGUCCUUGAAAUACCACCCUGGUAAUGUUGAGGUUCUAACUCUGUCCCGUGAUCCGGGACGAGGACCGUGUCUGGUGGGUAGUUUGACUGGGGCGGUCUCCUCCUAAAGAGUAACGGAGGAGUACGAAGGUGCGCUCAGCGUGGUCGGAAAUCACGCGUAGAGUAUAAAGGCAAAAGCGCGCUUAACUGCGAGACCCACAAGUCGAGCAGGUACGAAAGUAGGUCUUAGUGAUCCGGUGGUUCUGUAUGGAAGGGCCAUCGCUCAACGGAUAAAAGGUACUCUGGGGAUAACAGGCUGAUACCGCCCAAGAGUUCAUAUCGACGGCGGUGUUUGGCACCUCGAUGUCGGCUCAUCUCAUCCUGGGGCUGAAGCAGGUCCCAAGGGUAUGGCUGUUCGCCAUUUAAAGAGGUACGCGAGCUGGGUUUAGAACGUCGUGAGACAGUUCGGUCCCUAUCUACCGUGGGCGCUGGAAAUUUGAGAGGAUCUGCUCCUAGUACGAGAGGACCAGAGUGGACGAACCUCUGGUGUACCGGUUGUGACGCCAGUCGCAUCGCCGGGUAGCUAUGUUCGGAAGGGAUAACCGCUGAAAGCAUCUAAGCGGGAAGCCUACCUCAAGAUAAGAUUUCCCUAGGACUUUAUGUCCUCUAAAGAGCCGUUCGAGACUAGGACGUUGAUAGGUUGGAUGUGGAAGCAUAGUGAUAUGUGAAGCUGACCAAUACUAAUUGCUCGUGAGGCUUGACUAUACAACACCCAAGCAGUUG